GAUGAACGCUGGCGGCGUGCCUAAAACAUGCACGUCGAGCGAAGCGGGGACGGGUGAGUAACACGUGGAUAACCUCCUAUCAGACUGGGAUAACAUCGGGAAACCGGAGCUAAACCGGAUACUUAUAGAUGGAUCCGCGCUGCAUUAGCUAGUGGGUAAGGUAACGGCUUACCAAGGCAACGAUGAAUAGCCGACCUGAGAGGGUGAGCAGCCACACUGGAACUGAAGCACGGGCCAGACUCCUACGGGCGGCAGCAGUAGGGAAACUUGCGCAAUGGACGAAGGCCUAACGCGGCAACGCCGGGUGAGUGAUGAAGGGCGCCGGAUCAUAAAGCGCUGUAAUUAGGGAAGCUGUGCCUAAUCAGAAAGCCACGGCUAACUACGUGCAAGCAGCCGCGGUAAUAC
rnacentral:rRNA from 1 species